GGCGCGGGGGGCGGGCCCGCGGCGCCGCGCCGGAGGAGGAAGUGGUGCGGUUGUUGCUCCCUCUGCGCCCGCCGCUGGCUCCCGGGGCGCGGAGUGGGGCCACAGUUGCCGCCGCUGCGUCGAGCUCGCCAGCUGUUACCCUCCAUGUGCCCGGGCUCCGUCGCUCCCCUUCCUCAGGCCGCCGCUUACCCCGGGGUCUAUGGAAGUAAUGGAAGGACCCCUCAACCUGGCUCAUCAACAGAGCAGACGAGCAGAUCGUUUAGUAGCUGCAGGGAAAUACGAAGAGGCUAUUUCUUGUCACAAAAAGGCUGCAGCGUAUCUUUCUGAAGCUAUGAAGCUGACACAGUCUGAGCAGGCUCAUUUAUCACUGGAACUGCAAAGGGAUAGUCACAUGAAACAGCUUCUCCUCAUCCAGGAGAGAUGGAAGAGGGCAAAGCGGGAGGAAAGAUUGAAAGCCCAGCAGAGCACAGACAAGGAUGCCGCUGCCCAGCUACAGGCAUCUCACAGACCCUCUGCUGAGGACGCAGACAGCCAGAGCCCCCUACUCUCUCAGAAUUAUAGCCCUUCCACAGAGAAACACUUGCCUGAAAUUCAGGGGGUCUUUGACAGGGAUCCAGACACACUACUAUUUUUACUUCAGCAGAAGAGCGAGCCAACAGAGCUGUGCAUUGGAAGCAAAGCCCCAAAAGAUGAUAAAACAAUUAUAGAGGAGCAGGCAACCAAAAUUGCAGAUUUGAAGAGGCAUGUGGAAUUCCUUGUGGCUGAGAAUGAAAGAUUAAGGAGAGAAAAUAAACAGCUAAAGGCUGAAAAGGCCAGACUUCUAAAAGGCCCGAUAGAAAAGGAGCUUGAUGUAGAUGCUGAUUUUGUAGAAAAGUCAGAGUUAUGGAGCUUGCCACCACAUGCAGAAACUGCUACAGCCUCUUCAACCUGGCAGAGGUUUGCAUCAAAUACUGGGAAAGCCAAGGAUAUUCCAAUACCCAAUCUUCCUCCCUUGGAUUUUCCAUCUCCAGAACUUCCCCUCAUGGAACUCUCUGAAGAUAUUCUGAAAGGACUUAUGAAUAAUUAAAAUGGAAGGCCAUAGAAGAGGUGAAAAAGAGGAAAUAAUACGGUAAUACAGUUAAUCCAGCAAAAAAAAAAAAAAGGGAAAACCACAUGCAAGGGUGUCCCGGAGAUGCUGAAUCCAGCAUCCUGCGGAGAAGAGGCAUUGACAAGACUCGGAAACAGUCACUGUGAAGUAUAUCGCGCAUCGGAUUUACUGACUCGAGCUAAUGAUUCCAGACUUGGCAGAUACUAAACUCUUGGAGGUUCACUUUCUCCUGAUACAAACCAAAUGGCUACCUGGAAUAAUUUUUUUCAAGCAACAAUUAUUUUUCUUCAGGGUUAAAAUGUAUAAAAUUGGAAGCCUGUCCUUCUAAGAGUCACCGCAGACCAACAGUGCCAUCUAGUGGACGAUAACCCUCCUUCCACCACUUCACAAUAUCUCAGUCACAAGCUGCAACCCUUCGGACGCCCACUUCCAAAGCAGACCUCCAGUCUUCGUCAAGGUUGUUGAUUCCUGUGGAGGAUGAACAUAGUGGAUGCCUCACAUUUUCAGCACUGCUGUACAGUCUCAUUGGAUCUUCAUUAUGUGUCUGUAGAACAGAUGCUCUAUUUCACAGAGCAGGAAACUAUGGAUAAGCAGUUCAGCGCCUGUUCCAAGAUAAAUCAGCCAAUAAAUGGCAAGUCAACAGGAACCCAGCUCCUGUGAUAUCUUGUCUAACAGAUGCUUUACAGUCCUACAUGAACGCAGUCAUACCAGCAUACACAGGCUCCAAAUGCCCUGUCUCACCUUACAUUCAUCUGAACAUGCUGUGGGGAUUAAGUCCUUCUGAAGUUCUAGCAUGUAACUUUUAGCAUAUGUAACUAUUUUUUAAAAAAUAAUUUCACUGAUAUUCUAAUUGCAUUCAAACAUCAUUUGCCUGGUUUUAUUUCUUUUUUCCAUAGUCCUUUAGCCCUUUGAGCAUAUUUAAGGUAACUGACUUAGAAGUCUAUCUAGUAAGUCUGAUGUCUGGCCUUCCUCAGGGACAGUUUCUGUUGAGGUAUUUUUUCCCUAUGAAUGGGCCCUACUUUCCUGUUUCUGUGUAUGCUUUGUGACUUUUUGUUGGAAACUGGACAUCUAAACAUUAUCCUGUGGUAACUAGAAUCAGGUUCUCCCCUGCCUCACAGUCUGCUGCUGUUGAUUGAUAGGGACUGUAGUCAUCCAUUUGUUUUGUGACCUUUCCAAACUAAUUUUGCAAAGACUAUUCCUCCUCUGGCGUGCUCACUGAUGUCUCUGUUCGGUUAUCUCAGGUGGUCAGCCAGUGACUUGUCAGAGAUUUCCUUGAAGGCCAAAACUCAGAUGUCCUCUUCUUCAUUAAGCAGUCCGCUGGUCCAUGUAAGUUCUGAAUUAGAUUCCAGAGCUCUGAAAAAGUUGAUUCUUAUGGUUGUUUUAAAAUCACUUUUAGAACAGUGACUUUCAUUAGUGGUUACAAGAUGUUAUUUUGUUUCCUAAUGACCUCAACUUGAUAUAGACUGCUUAAAGACUUAAGGGUUAGUUUGAAAAGGCAAGGUUCAGUUUUAAGGUGAAACAUAUCUGAACUUCCCAUUCCACUUACCCCUUUUUGUGCCAUCUUUGAGUCAUUUACUUUUCACUUCCUUGGCAGACUGUCUUAUUCAUACUUGCCUUCAAGAUCAGUUGUAAUCAUAUAUAGGUAAUGUUAAGAAAAUGUAACUUUUGUUUUCAGAGUAGGAAAGUUAUUAUCUUGACACUGUGAUUUUGUCUGAGUCCUUUUAGUCAUAAGAAUGUAGAGAAUUUACAACUUAGCAAUAUUAUUAACUUACUUUGAAUGACCAAAUACAAUCAGUUAAGUAGUUGAGGACAAAAUUAUCAGUAAAGAUUUUGUUAAUUUAAAAAAACUGUUGCUGUUUAAAACUGAAAGCUACUCUAAACCUCAGGACACUAGAGCUGAGAAAGUGAAUCCUGGAGGUCAAGAUUCACCUGCUUUAUCUAAGGGUAUACACAGGGUUUCACAGACUCAGCCACAUUUGCCAACAGAAGAUUUUUAAGCCUGCAGUUCUAGAGUAGUUCUUAGAAAAUAAAGAGGGCUGUGGCUAUGAUAUUGUCCCUCAACUUGCCUAGAUAUACAUCUGAAUGCCGCUGCACAGAGUUGUCCCGUGGCCGUCUCUCCUCCCGCCCCAGGCUUCUCGAAGUGCUCACUGCUGACAAAUCAAAGAAAGUAACAAGUGUGUUAGAAGCAACCUUUUAUAUACCUGAUGAAGUGCUCCUGCUGGUAAGACGAUGGCAUCACCAAGGAACUGAAUAAGAGUGCAGGCUUUGACUCCAUAUUCCUCAAGCAGUCUUUGGCGAAGCUUUUUGUUCACAUACCAACUCUGGUCACGAAUUGGAUCAUGUUCUGGUAGAACUUCAAGGCCUUGUUCUUUUGAAAUCUGAGAUAUAGAUUAAAAUGAAAAUAUAUACCCCAAUUUAAGUAAAGAAAAUGGUAAAUCCUGUUCCGUUAAAUUUCAGUUUUCUUUACAAUAACAGUCUGUUCUCAGAAUCUUCUGAAACGAUGACUGAGCUUAAGUUAAAGAAAAUGAUAUUCUACAAUUGGAAAAGCCAAAGGACAUGAAAACAAUAUUGCACACUGAUACGCUAUUAAUAAAGUAAAUCAUACUCCCUUACCUUCUUCCACUAUGAAGUUCUCUUUUAAAAAAAAUAGUUUUAUUAACUAUUA